CACAUAGUGAGAAGGCAUGAAUCACUAGAAAAAACAAUAAUGCUAGGAAAGGUAGAAGGUAUAAGAAGGAAGUGAAGACUACAUAACAGAUGGAUGGACCCAAGCAAGCUGAAAUUACCGUACUUCCAGAUGUUCUUAUGCAUUAUUGAGGUCUUCUGCAGUAGAUGCUGGAAAAGAAUCAGAUGUGCCUUGAGAGUUUUCUGACUUGGAGGAGCCGAAGGAUUUUUGCAAAGAUUGUCUAAAUCUCAAAAAGAAGAAAUGGAUUGUGAUUUCAAUCUAUAAUAAGCAGCAGUCCUAAUCACAUCCUGAGCCAGAAUAAGGUCACUGAUAUUUUGGAUGCCAUGUUAACGUAGAAACAGCUUCCAUCAUGUUAACCCAAAUGAGUUUCUAAUACAUCUGGAUCUCACAUGCGGAACGCAAAAGAGGAAUGUGGGAUCACAUCUGAACAGGUUCUACAACACCCAUGACAUCACUGUGACAAGUUGCCUCCUUUGUUCGCUGCUCUUCUAUAGUCUUCCGUGAUUUGCUAGUUUUUAGAGGAAGUUAUUCCCCAAAGGCACCGAAGGGAUGCAGGAUGCCUAUUAUACACAUCUUGGCCCCAAAUUUCCAACUCAACAUGGAAGCUCUCUUCCCCACCUCCCUUAUCCUGCCAUGCUGCCAU